rnacentral:lncRNA from 1 species
AGCAGUAGAUAACAAGUAUAGCAGGGAAUGAAUUCAUUUAUCAUUUAUAUAUUCUUCAUUGUUUAUUAAAGCCCCCCCCGCAAAAAUAGAUGGAACUUCAGUGGACUACAAGAUAACAAAGUGUGAACUGAAACUUCAGAGGAAAGAUGACUGAGGGAAAGAAUCUGGCAUGACAAAGGAUGCUACUCAAAACUGGCAAGAAAACAAGAACGUGCAAAUAGCAAAAUAAAACUAAGCUACCUGAAAAUAAUUGAAACCCAAUCGCUCUUAAAACAGGACCUGCUCUCUCUUCCUCUCUGAGUUCCUAUGUGAUGCCCAUAACUUGACAGGACAAUUCCACGGUUUGGCUAGAAUCUGACGGAAACGUGUAGCAAAAUGUUUAGUGGCUUCCACUUGCCACGGUUCAGCAGUUUUCAUUUUUAAAUGGAUAUUCAUCUUGUUAAAAUAUUUACUUUAUUGUGAAACUACAGGCAGAUUUAUCUCACAUAGAAGAAGCUAUAGGUAUAACAGGCAUAUGGAGUUCAUUCACCAAGGAAGAAUCCAGAAGUUUCUCUUCAAGUAAGUAUAUCAAUGCCC